GGUGAGUAACACGUGGGUAACCUACCUAUAAGACUGGGACAACUUCGGGAAACCGGAGCUAAUACCGGAUAAUAUGUUGAACCGCAUGGUUCAAUAGUGAAAGAUGGUUUUGCUAUCACUUAUAGAUGGACCCGCGCCGUAUUAGCUAGUUGGUGAGGUAACGGCUCACCAAGGCAACGAUACGUAGCCGACCUGAGAGGGUGAUCGGCCACACUGGAACUGAGACACGGUCCAGACUCCUACGGGAGGCAGCAGUAGGGAAUCUUCCGCAAUGGGCGAAAGCCUGACGGAGCAACGCCGCGUGAGUGAUGAAGGUCUUAGGAUCGUAAAACUCUGUUAUUAGGGAAGAACAAACGUGUAAGUAACUGUGCACGUCUUGACGGUACCUAAUCAGAAAGCCACGGCUAACUACGUGCCAGCAGCCGCGGUAAUACGUAGGUGGCAAGCGUUAUCCGGAAUUAUUGGGCGUAAAGCGCGCGUAGGCGGUUUUUUAAGUCUGAUGUGAAAGCCCACGGCUCAACCGUGGAGGGUCAUUGGAAACUGGAAAACUUGAGUGCAGAAGAGGAAAGUGGAAUUCCAUGUGUAGCGGUGAAAUGCGCAGAGAUAUGGAGGAACACCAGUGGCGAAGGCGACUUUCUGGUCUGUAACUGACGCUGAUGUGCGAAAGCGUGGGGAUCAAACAGGAUUAGAUACCCUGGUAGUCCACGCCGUAAACGAUGAGUGCUAAGUGUUAGGGGGUUUCCGCCCCUUAGUGCUGCAGCUAACGCAUUAAGCACUCCGCCUGGGAGUACGAC
rnacentral:rRNA from 1 species